rnacentral:lncRNA from 1 species
CUAAAAAUUUUUUUGGGAAUCCUUUAGGUGAGUUGUGUUGUAUUACUUUAUCAUGGGUUUGUGGGAGAAUAGUACUACAACAUAUGUAAAAAUUGGAAAAAUCAGAAGAGAGGUCAUGGUUGGCACUUCCCUGGUAAACAUGCAGUAUCUCUUGAUAAUUACCAGUAACAUAUAUUUUAUACUGGGCCCUCUGCCUAAACCCUGUAUGUUAGGGAAUUUAUUCUGUAUUAUACACAAUGCAAAUAUGAUGUAUUUUCUUUGAUGUGCUAUUAUUAUUAAUAAAAAUGAUGUUUGCUUUACUGGUGGUGGUGAUAGUAUACCCACUAAAUGCAAUCAUCACAAUAAAGUUGCAGAAUGAACUUAGGUAGCAAAAACAUUCAUUCCAUCAAAAAGUUGAUGGAAUUUUGUGUGCACUUUUUCAGAAAUUAAUCAUCAUAUUUCUUAGUGUCAUCUUUUAGUCUAAAAAUUACUUUGUAGCAAAAUUUUAAUAGAAUUCUAUUUUUUUAAUUAAUUUUUUUAGGAUAGCCUGAGAGAGAAGAGCCUGUUGAAGAUAAAUUUUAUUGCUGCCAUAAAAUUUAUCUUGAUAGUCUAAAUGCCAUUGGCUCAAGAUAAAAAUUAAGUGCUUUAAAAUUAUCUUGGAGAAAAUUUUUUCUUAGAUUUCCAAUGUAUUAAAAUAUUUAACAAAAGUAAUGUGUCU